rnacentral:tRNA from 1 species
GUCCCAGUAGCUCAGCCGGACAGAGCAACGGACUUCUAAUCCGUAGGCCGGGGGUUCGAAUCCCUCCUGGGACG